rnacentral:rRNA from 1 species
UACGUAGGGUGCAAGCGUUGUCCGGAAUUAUUGGGCGUAAAGAGCUUGUAGGCGGUUUGUCGCGUCGGCCGUGAAAACCUGCAGCUCAACUGUGGGCUUGCGGUCGAUACGGGCAUCACUGGAGUUCGGCAGGGGAGACUGGAAUUCCUGGUGUAGCGGUGAAAUGCGCAGAUAUCAGGAGGAACACCGGUGGCGAAGGCGGGUCUCUGGGCCGAUACUGACGCUGAGGAGCGAAAGCGUGGGGAGCAAACAGG